rnacentral:rRNA from 1 species
CAGUCGCCGCGGUAAUACGAGGGGGGCAAGCGUUGUUCGGAAUUAUUGGGCGUAAAGGGUGCGUAGGCGGCUUGACAAGUCUUGUGUGAAAUCUAUGGGCUCAACCCAUAGUCUGCACGGGAAACUGUCGGGCUUGAGAAUGGGAGAGGUGAGUGGAAUUUCCGGUGUAGCGGUGAAAUGCGUAGAUAUCGGAAGGAACACCUGUGGCGAAAGCGGCUCACUGGACCAUUUCUGACGCUGAUGCACGAAAGCUAGGGGAGCAAACAGGAUUAGAGACCCCCGUAGUCCCUGUCUCUUAUAC